CACACGAAUGCACCGGGGCAUCCCCGGAGCUUUGAGAGUUGUUGUCGUAACUCGGACCUUGUUUUUGAUGUUCGACUAACAGUGUGAAUCUUUAAACGUUUGACUGGAUCUCUGCACACUGGACAGGCUUCUUUUUUUACGGGACAGGUUUGGUCCGGCACAGCUCCUGAUUGUCCCUCAGCAGGAGCUGAGACCCAUUUAAAUGUCCAGAGCGGAAACAAAACCCAGGCUUGGGAGAAGAUUUCGGGUUACCAGGCCUUUGUCUCUGGAAGGUCUUCAUAGCAGAGGCUGGUUAAGUGAGACAGACGUCAUUUAUUGUUUGACUUCCCUGAUUCUGACUGCCUUAAGGAAGUCCAACGUAGCGCAUCAAAGAGGAGGCUUUUUUUUGGGACAAGAAAGACGCAAAACCUGAGAAGAAGAACAUACACAGGGCGUGAUGUGACGGAAACAGACUCGCAUUCAAAGCAGUAAAAGUCACCAGGGUCUCCUUACUGGUCAACAUUAAGAUUGGGAGUAGAGAGGAGAGGGAGGAGGCGGCCGGGAGCAGAGGGAACCAGGAAGGUUGAGGACGAUGUAGGUGUCGAAAGCAGCUGGGAGGAGGAGGAGGGUUCGGAUCUGACACACAAAAGGUGGACGAUGCUUCAUUUCCGUGGAGACGUCUUCCCCCGGAGUGCUCUUCCUCCUCCUCUUUUUUCUGAAUGCACAUCAACACAGCUGCCCCACGGCUGCUGGAGCGCCGAUUUCUGCUGUCUGUGAUCACUGUUGACUCAUUAAGGAUAGACAGGUGAGCUUGGAGGUUAUGAGGAGGCGGAGAGUUGGAAUGAACUAGCAUGCUUAAUUUUCACAUUCAUAUAUAAAACCACAGGUGGUUUGGGACAGGUGUCAUAUAGGUCCUCUGAAUUGGUUCUGUUUAAAUAUGACAGGACUGCAUAUAGAAUAACUUUCUGCAGCAUGAUGACAAUCGUGGAAGUCCAAUGACAAAGUCAAAGGGUUCUCACUGUUGCUGGAUCUGCAGGAUUUGGACAUUUGGCCAUCCCCCUAUAGAAAGUGAAAACAAAGGAAAUAUAGAGUUUGUCCCUCUCCUUUGCAGCUUGCAUCACUUCUCUAGGAAGGCUCUGAUCAGGGUUUAAUGGCGAUUCCGAUAUCCGAGAUUGGCUGAUACCGAUACCGGAUAGAUAAACACAUGGAUUAACUGUACAUUUUUCAAUGUGUUUAUGAUGAGUGCUAUUGGCCAGGGGCACCGUAUGGGGAAAAAAGUUAGACAAUUCCAAGGCCCCUGGCAAAUAGGUAUUUAAUAAAAAAUAAAUUUUUGUGCCAUUGUGUCUUUCUUUUGCCUUUUAUUUGUGUGAAACGUUUUUGUGCUAUUUGACACAAACCUGAACUUCAUUUGAUGCAUAUUUUGGACUAAUGCGAACAUGAUGGAUGCCCGCUGCAACAUCUGCACGUAAGCAACCGCCGUUUGACGACCCUGCACCACCUGAAGCUCCAGUGUUCCACUGAAUGAAAAAGCACCCCAGACCAUGAUGGACCCCCCCUCCACUGUGUCAGGUAGAAAACAUCUCAGGUGGGAUCUCCUUGUCAUGCCAGUAACGUUGGAAGCCAUCUGGACGGUCAAGGUAAAUUUUUUUCUUAUCAGAUAAUAAAACUUGUUUCCACCUUUCGAUGUCCCAUGUUUGAUGCUCCCUGGCAAAGUCUAAACGGGCAGUUUUGUGGUGUUGAAGGAGACGAGGUCUUUCAAUUCCUUUUUUUUUUUUAAACCCUUUUCCCGCAGAUGUCGUCUGAUGGUUUUUGCGCUCCAGUCGGCACCAGUAAGGGUCUUAAUUUGGGUGAAAGACCGUCCUGUGUAUUGAUGGACAGCCAAUGGGAUCCUCCGGCUCAGCGCAGGUGUGAUUUUUUUGGGUCUACCACUUGACUUUUUUGUUCCAUAAUGCUCAGGAUCUUUCAAAAAAUGUAGAAUGACUGAUUUACUGCACCCAACCUCAGCAGCUUAAAUCUUCAUAUUAUUUUAAGUCUGAA